UAAACGACUCUCGGCAACGGAUAUCUCGGCUCUCGCAUCGAUGAAGAACGUAGCGAAAUGCGAUACUUGGUGUGAAUUGCAGAAUCCCGUGAACCAUCGAGUCUUUGAACGCAAGUUGCGCCCGAAGCCUUGGCUGAAGGCACGCCUGCCUGGGUGUCACGCA
rnacentral:rRNA from 1 species